AUUGGCUAGUCAUUUUCCCAGCCCACUCUAGUUUCUGCUUUGGCACGUCCCAUCCCCGCGGCCUCUGCUCUCAAGAAUGCGCCACCUGAAAGACCCUCGGAUAUGACCCCGUCUUGGGUGAUGGAGCGGGAGCUGAAGUCUACGCCAGAGGAAGAGAGGACGGAUUUCCUCAGGGGUCGGAUUUUUCCUGAACUCAGAUCACAAGCUGAAGUGGAGAAACUAAACCUAAACACGAACCAGGAGUCACAAACUGUGCAAUCAUCAUGAACACACAGGUUGCGGUUUGCUAUUUAUAGCUUUGUAUAGAAUGUGAAAGAGAAAGAAAUAAAAGUGUUGUUAUAAAUGUG